rnacentral:rRNA from 1 species
UACGUAGGUGGCAAGCGUUGUCCGGAUUUAUUGGGCGUAAAGCGUGCGCAGCCGGUUCCUUAAGUCUGAUGUGAAAGCCCCCGGCUCAACCGGGGAAGGGCAUUGGAAACUGGUGAACUUGAGUGCAGAAGAGGAAAGUGGAAUUCCAUGUGUAGCGGUGAAAUGCGUAGAGAUAUGGAGGAACACCAGUGGCGAAGGCGGCUUUCUGGUCUGCAACUGACGCUGAUGUGCGAAAGCGUGGGGAGCAAACAGG